rfam:Medicago truncatula strain A17 chromosome 2, whole genome shotgun sequence.
AAGCAGCCCCCUAUGUAUUGGAUCUCCCCCAAGACCACUUUUGACUUAGUCUUCGCUGACAUAGCACCCACAAUGGUCGACACGUGGCACCUCACUUAAGGGAUGUGGGUGCCACGUCAGCGAAGACUAAGUCAAAAGUGGCCUUGGGAGCCAAAACUGCCAAAGAUCCAAUAUAUAGGGGGCUGUUU